AGCAGUAGCCGCGGUAACACGUAGGGUGCGAGCGUUAAUCGGAAUUACUGGGCGUAAAGCGUGCGCAGGCGGUUUUGUAAGACAGGCGUGAAAUCCCCGGGCUCAACCUGGGAAUGGCGCUUGUGACUGCAAAGCUAGAGUGCGGCAGAGGGGGAUGGAAUUCCGCGUGUAGCAGUGAAAUGCGUAGAUAUGCGGAGGAACACCGAUGGCGAAGGCAAUCCCCUGGGCCUGCACUGACGCUCAUGCACGAAAGCGUGGGGAGCAAACAGGAUUAGAUACCCGAGUAGUCCCUGUCUCUUAUAC
rnacentral:rRNA from 1 species